ensembl:misc_RNA Metazoa_SRP Metazoan signal recognition particle RNA
GCUGGGCACGGUGCUGCACGCCUGUAGUCCCAGCUACUCGGGAGGCUGAGGCUGGAGGAUUGCUUGAGUCCAGGAGUUAGGGGCUGUCGUGCGCUAUGCUGAUUGGGUGUCCACACUAAGUUCAGCAUCAAUAUGGUGACCUCCCGGGAGCAGGAGGCCACCAGGUUGCCUAAGGAGGGGUGAACCAGCCCAGGUCGGAAAUGGAGCAGAUCAGAUACAUAUAGUAUUUACAUGAUAUGCAUUUUGCAUGAAUGUUUUGAAGACCCCUCCUAUGUAAAAUUUAUCCCACUGCGU